CCCAGCAAUGGGAUGCGAAUCUCGAAAGCCUGUCUCAGUUCGGAUUGGAGGCUGAAACCCGCCUCCAUGAAGUUGGAUUCGCUAGUAAUCGCGCAUCAGCCAUGGCGCGGUGAAUACGUUCCCGGGCCUUGUACACACCGCCCGUCAAGCCAUGGAAGCCGGGGGUGCCUGAAGUGCGCUGCCGCAAGGAGCGCCCUAGGGUAAAACCGGUGACUGGGGCUAAGUCGUAACAAGGUACC
rnacentral:rRNA from 1 species